rnacentral:rRNA from 1 species
GACGAACGCUGGCGGCGUGCUUAACACAUGCAAGUCGAGCGGUAAGGCCCUUUCGGGGGUACACGAGCGGCGAACGGGUGAGUAACACGUGGGUGACCUGCCCUCAGCUCUGGGAUAAGCCUGGGAAACCGGGUCUAAUACCGGAUAUGACUCCAUGACGCAUGUUGUGGGGUGGAAAGCCUUGUGCGGCUGAGGAUGGGCCCGCGGCCUAUCAGCUUGUUGGUGGGUGAUGGCCCACCAAGGCUAUGACGGUAGCUGGUCUGAGAGGACGACCAGCCACACGGGGACUGAGA